UANACGUGGUUGACCUACCCCAAAGUAAGGGAUAACGGUCCGAAAGGACUGCUAAUACCUUAUAAGCUCCCGGUGUUUAGAAAACUGGGAGAAAAGUUCCGGCGCUUUGGGCGGGGACUGCGGACCAUCAGCUAGUUGGUGUGGUAACGGCACACCAAGGCGACGACGGAUAGGGGACCUGAGAGGGUGGCCCCCCGCACUGGAACUGAGACACGGUCCAGACUCCUACGGGAGGCAGCAGUGAGGAAUAUUGCACAAUGGGCGCAAGCCUGAUGCAGCGACGCCGCGUGGGUGAUGAAGGUUUUCGGAUCGUAAAGCCCUUUUCUAGAUGACGAGUAAGGACGGUAGUCUAGGAAUAAGUGUCGGCUAACUACGUGCCAGCAGCCGCGGUAAANCGUANGACACAAGCGUUAUCCGGAGUUACUGGGCGUAAAGGGCGUGUAGGCGGACCUGUAAGUCUAUUCUGAAGCNUCUGGCUAACUGGGAGAGCGAAUGGAGACUGCAGAUCUAGAGUGAGGAAGAGGAAAGUGGAUUCCCCGUGUAUGGUGAAAUGCGUAAAGAUGCGGAGGAAC
rnacentral:rRNA from 1 species